rnacentral:rRNA from 1 species
GAUGAACGCUAGCGGCAGGCUUAAUACAUGCAAGUCGAGGGGCAGCAUGAUUGUAGCAAUACAAUUGAUGGCGACCGGCAAACGGGUGCGGAACACGUACACAACCUCCCAAUAAGUGGGGAAUAGCCCAGAGAAAUUUGGAUUAAUACCCCGUAACAUAACGAUGUGGCAUCACAUUGUUAUUAUAGAUUUUUCGCUUAUUGAUGGGUGUGCGGCUGAUUAGAUAGUUGGCGGGGUAACGGCCCACCAAGUCUACGAUCAGUAGCUGAUGUGAGAGCAUGAUCAGCCACACGGGCACUGAGACACGGUCCAGACUCCUACGGGAGGCAGCAGUGGGGAAUAUUGGACAAUGGGCGAAAGCCUGAUCCAGCCAUGCCGCGUGUGUGAAGAAGGUCUUCGGAUUGUAAAGCACUUUAAGUUGGGAGGAAGGGUUGUAGAUUAAUACUCUGCAAUUUUGACGUUACCGACAGAAUAAGCACCGGCUAACUUCGUGCCAGCAGCCGCCGUAAAAC